CCUACGGGGGGCAGCAGUGGGGAAUAUUGCGCAAUGGGGGAAACCCUGACGCAGCGACGCCGCGUGUAGGAAGAAGGCCUUCGGGUCGUAAACUACUGUCAAGAGGGAAGAACCUGUGGGUCAUUAAUACGGGCCUGCACUGACGGUACCAUACGAGGAAGUCCCGGCUAACUACGUGCCAGCAGCCGCGGUAAUACGUAGGGGACGAGCGUUGUCCGGAAUUACUGGGCGUAAAGGGCGCGCAGGCGGAUAUUUAAGUCAGCUGUAAAAGGCAUGAGCUCAACUCAUGUAUGCGGUUGAAACUGGGUAUCUAGAGUGCUGGAGAGGUAGGCGGAAUUCCCGGUGUAGCGGUGAAAUGCGUAGAUAUCGGGAAGAACACCAGUGGCGAAGGCGGCUUACUGGCCAGCAACUGACGCUGAGGCGCGAAAGCCAGGGGAGCGAACGGGAUUAGAUACCCUUGUAGUC
rnacentral:rRNA from 1 species